rnacentral:rRNA from 1 species
AUGGCAGAGAAGGUAUCCACGUUGAUCAUUGAAGCCAACCUCGAAUGCGAGAAAUGCUACAGGAAGAUUCAGAAAGUGCUAUGUAAACUCCAAGAGAAGGAGAAGAUCAGGACCAUCAACUUCGACACCAAGAAGAACACGGUGACCGUCUCCGGCCCAUUCGACCCGGUGAAGCUGUCCAAGAAGCUGCGAUGCAAGGCGUGCAAGGCUAUCAAGGACAUCAAGAUCAUCGAAGAAAAGAAGCCCGAUGCCAAGAAGCCGGAGGAGAAGAAGCCAGAGGAGAAGAAGCCCGAGGAGAAGAAGCCGGCCGCCGAUGGCUGCAAGUGCUGCUGCAAGAAGCCCGAUGAGAAGAAGCCGGAUGAGAAGAAGAAGGCCGACGAGAAGAAGCCGGAAGAAAAGAAGGAAGAAAAGAAGGAGGAAAAGAAGGAAGAAAAGAAGAAGACGGAUGAGAAGAAGGGCGAGGAGAAGCCCAAACCGGCCGCGCCGGCGGCACCGUCGACGACGGUGAACCUGCAGUUCACGCAGAUGUGCAACCUCUGCUACCCGUGGCCGUGCAGCGACCCGAGCCACUGGGGAGGCGUGCAUCAGUACCCGCAUCCCCAGCAGCCGCAGUGGCCGUGCGAGCCGCCGCAGAUGCCGGCCUACCCCGCCCCGCACCACCCUCAGCACCCGCCCUGGGCGGUGCCGGCGACCCCGAAGAGGCAGACGUGCGGAGGCCCGGCGUACUGCAGAGGAGGGUGCGGCUCGUGCGGCGGCGGCGGCGGUGGCGGCGGGUACGGGGCGUGGCCGCCGCCGAUGCCGACGCCGCUGCAGAUGAUGCAGCCCCCGCCGAUGGGCUGCGGCGGGCCGGCGUCGUCGUGCAGAGGGUGCAAGGGCUGCCGGAUCGUGCAGGAGGGGAGGUUCAUCUACGAGGAGUACCCGCCCAGUGCGUGCACUGUCAUGUGA